rnacentral:rRNA from 1 species
AUGUGAUCUGAGUUCAGACCGGAGUAAUCCAGGUCAGUUUCUAUCUAUAAUGGAGCUUUUUCUAGUACGAAAGGACCGAAAAAGCACGGUCAAUACUUUAUGCAAACCGUAAUUAACAAAAUAUGACUAAAUCUAAAUAAAUUUAUAAUCCACUAAUUGACUCAAAAGAAGAGC